CUUGGCGUGAACAAAAGAGGAGACCGUUCUCCUCUUGGGUGAGAGACCUAGAACUGUUCUAGAUUUUUGGGUGAGGAAAAAAUCAAAGAGAAGAGAGUCUUCAUAUAAAUUUUUUUCACUAUCUAACAUCCUUCUCUGAUCCAUCUUCGACAUUGAAAAUAUUUGAGAUGAUCGAAGAAGGAGAUCAAGUUAGAUCUGCCAUCAGAAUCGACUGCAC
rnacentral:lncRNA from 1 species